rfam:Citrus sinensis cultivar Ridge Pineapple sweet orange scaffold00337_contig_7, whole genome shotgun sequence.
AAGAAGAGAGGCUGUCAAGUUAGCCAAGGAGACUGCCUGGUACCCACCCAAGGGUUUAAAUAUUCAACGUUUUGAAACCACUUAGGAGAGAUCAGGCAAGUCAUCCUUGGCUACCAAACUAGCACUCUUUUCU